rnacentral:rRNA from 1 species
GUAAGGAAUAUUGGGCAAUGGACGCAAGUCUGACCCAGCCAUGCCGCGUGAAGGAUUAAGGUCCUCUGGAUUGUAAACUUCUUUUCUCUGGGGCGAAAACCAGCUAUUCUUAGCUAUUUGACAGUACCAGAGGAAUAAGCACCGGCUAACUCCGUGCCAGCAGCCGCGGUAAUACGGAGGGUGCAAGCGUUAUCCGGAUUCACUGGGUUUAAAGGGUGCGUAGGUGGGCUAGUAAGUCCGUGGUGAAAUCCCCGAGCUUAACUUGGGAACUGCCAUUGAUACUAUUAGUCUUGAAUAUCGUGGAGGUAAGCGGAAUAUGUCAUGUAGCGGUGAAAUGCUUAGAUAUGACAUAGAACACCAAUUGCGAAGGCAGCUUGCUACACGGUCAUUGACACUGAGGCACGAAAGCGUGGGGAGCAAACAGGAUUAGAAACCCCAGUAGUCC